rnacentral:rRNA from 1 species
AUUGAACGCUGGCGGCAGGCUUAACACAUGCAAGUCGAACGAGUGGCGGACGGGUGAGUAAUGCUUGGGAAUCUAGCUUAUGGAGGGGGAUAACUACGGGAAACUGUAGCUAAUACCGCGUACCAUAGGAUGAGCCCAAGUGGGAUUAGGUAGUUGGUGGGGUAAAGGCUCACCAAGCCGACGAUCCCUAGCUGGUCUGAGAGGAUGACGAGCCACACGGGGACGGAGACACGGCCCAGAACCCGACGGGAGGCAGCAGUGGGGAAUAUUGCGAAAUGGGGGCAACCUGACGCAGCCAUGCCGCGGGAAUGAAGAAGGCAUUCGGGUUGUAAAGUUCUUUCAGUAGCGAGGCGUUAACUACAGAAGAAGCACCGGCUAACUCCGUGCCAGCCGCCGCGGUAAUUC